rnacentral:lncRNA from 10 species
GAGGUGGGCAAGUUAGUUGCUCCAAAAACAAGAUAAAAUGAUUGAGUUCUUUUCUCAAGCGGGAGUCGGAGUUUAUCUGCUCUGAGAAAUAUUGAUGUUAAAGAGGAAACUAACUUUCUGAACCAUUAAAUGUAAUAUCAUUUAUCUCACCAAAUCCCAAGAUAGAUGCUCCAGAUGGUUUUCUUACAGAGAAACUUCAUUUCAUGCUUGCAGUUGUUUAUUCCCAUGCAUCUAACUCUCGGCCAGGCACUGAAACAGAGCCCCAGCAGCUACUAUUAAUGAGUGUCUGGAAUAUGUUCCUGGCAUUUCACCUACCCUCUCUCCAAUCCUUCCAAGAAACUCACAAAGCAGGGCUUUUUCUUGAACUUCUCUUCCUCACAACAGUUAAAUCAUCCAUUUAAAGAUGUCAAACAACCUCCGUGUUCUAAGCCAGACCAUCAACUUAACUUGUAAAACUACCAACUGUUGCUACACACAGGCAAAGGAAUUAAACUUGGUAGCUGAUCAUUUGAUUACAUCUAUCAGUCUACUGGAGGGCUUCAACGCAGAGUAGGUGGAAUUCAUGGUUCAAAUCAGAGUAUUAAUGGGAUCUGUUUGCACACCAAUACCUGAUCUCCUUGGCACAAAUACAGAGCUGAUUCUUAAAGCAUGUCCCCACAAUAAAGCUUUUCUUAAUCAUU